rnacentral:rRNA from 1 species
GAUGAACGCUGGCGGCGUGCCUAAUACAUGCAAGUCGAGCGAACAGACGAGGAGCUUGCUCCUCUGACGUUAGCGGCGGACGGGUGAGUAACACGUGGAUAACCUACCUAUAAGACUGGGAUAACUUCGGGAAACCGGAGCUAAUACCGGAUAAUAUAUUGAACCGCAUGGUUCAAUAGUGAAAGACGGUUUUGCUGUCACUUAUAGAUGGAUCCGCGCCGCAUUAGCUAGUUGGUAAGGUAACGGCUUACCAAGGCAACGAUGCGUGGCCGACCUGAGAGGGGGAUCGGCCACACUGGAACUGAGACACGGUCCAGACUCCUACGGGAGGCAGCAGUAGGGAAUCUUCCGCAAUGGGCGAAAGCCUGACGGAGCAACGCCGCGUGAGUGAUGAAGGUCUUCGGAUCGUAAAACUCUGUUAUUAGGGAAGAACAAAUGUGUAAGUAACUAUGCACGUCUUGACGGUACCUAAUCAGAAAGCCACGGCUAACUACGUG